CUAAGUAGAAAGCAAAGAAGUGAGAAUAAUAGAAAGCAAAGAAGCAAAGAAGUGAGAUAAAUAGUGAGAGACAUGGACAUGUCAAGCUUCUUGCUCUUGCAUCACUUGGCCAAAGACCAUGGAUGAACAACUGUUCCGGAAUACCAGAUUUGCAAGGAGUUUUCCCUGAUUGUAAUUGCAUGUCAUAGAAUGUUGGGGUCAAUGCAAUACGUAUUCCAUAAAAUGGUAACUUGCUUGACACCUAGUUCUUGGUUUAUAGCCGUUAAAAUCAAUAUAAUUAGUAGCAAAUAGCUCUCCAUAAUAACUUGUUAGCAAUACUAUUAAUGUACUCAAAGUAAUAAUGCAAGGAUGGCAUUAUAUUUGAGCAUUUGCCUCUUUUUAUAGGGGUCGAAACAUAAAAAAAACACUUUUUCAAUGCAUGGAAGGUUAGUUAGUAAAGUCUUACAGAUUUGCAUUCUUCCAACUUUACAUUGAGAUAAUAUAAGAAUUGAAAUGCCUUUCCUACAUGAAGUUAUUAUUGAUACAGAAGUCUUGAAUGAGUGAGAUCAGUUUCUCACUAUAAUUUGUUUAUUAUCUAAUCACCAUUCAGAUUAAGUGUCGUAAUUAAUCUAAAUCUGUAUACUUCGUGGCAUGAUUUUGCUACCCAUCAACCAUGUUUUAAAAUGCUACCCAUUCACCUCCAAUUGAAAACCAAAAAGACUAGAAAGUUGGGCUUGCUCAUGACAUUGACAGGUUAAGCUUACUUCUCAAGCAGUUGCAGGUCAAAGGCCGUGGAUGUAGAAUAGUUCCUGAGUACCUGUGUAGCAGGUAUUCAUGGUACACAAAGUGGGAGGUCACUGAAGUACAACUAUCGUAACUUGAUAUUGGGUCUAAUUAGUAAUAACUCGGGGGUGCAAAGAACAUUCAUUGGCAAGAGAACCACUAUCAAAUCCAUAACUAAACACUACUUGUCGCAAGUGUAUAUGAAAGGAUUGGUUUAUUUGUGGUGAAUGAUGAUCAGUUGGUGUGGUGGAUGACCGAUCAUCUUCUGCUAUUUAUAAAGGAUAUUAAGGCAUGCAUGUGAGUACUAUUCCAAGUGGUUAGGGAGUAGGUUAUUCAUGGUUAUGUUAUUUCCUAUCUUAUUAUUGUUACUGGUAGGUCACAUUGUUUCAGUUGUAACUUCCAAUUACUAUUUUCUGGUUUGAAAAUCACAAUCUUCACUUGUUUCCGAUAUUAUUAUUAUUGGUAUCGGGUAGGGUAGUGAGGCAUGAAAGUUUUGAACGACACUCCCAUAGUAUCUUCUUAAUAUUGUUCUUGAUGGACAUGUCCGAAAACAAUUAUCAGUUAGAUUCACUGCGGAAAGAGAAAGAAAUACAACAGCUGAAUAUAACCAUUCUGUUA